UACGGAGGGUGCAAGCGUUGCUCGGAAUCAUUGGGCGUAAAGGGGAGGUAGGUGGUCUUAUUUGUCUAGGGUGAAAUCCUUGAGCUUAACUCAAGAAGUGCCCUAGAAACGGUAAGACUAGAGUCCUGGAGAGGGUCGUGGAAUUCCUGGGUGUAGCGGUGAAAUGCGCAGAUAUCAGGAGGAACACCGGUGGCGAAGGCGGGUCUCUGGGCCGUAACUGACGCUGGAGGAGCGAAAGCCGUGGGGAGCGAACAGG
rnacentral:rRNA from 1 species